rnacentral:rRNA from 1 species
UACGAAGGGGGCUAGCGUUGCUCGGAAUCACUGGGCGUACAGCGCACGUAGGCGGCUUUUUAAGUCAGGGGUGAAAUCCUGGAGCUCAACUCCAGAACUGCCUUUGAUACUGAGAAGCUUGAGUCCGGGAGAGGUGAGUGGAACUGCGAGUGUAGAGGUGAAAUUCGUAGAUAUUCGCAAGAACACCAGUGGCGAAGGCGGCUCACUGGCCCGGUACUGACGCUGAGGUGCGAAAGCGUGGGGAGCAAACAGG